CUUGGCCAAAGUUCUCCGGAGGAUGCAGUUGUGUGAGACACGCCUGUGGUUAGAGCUGCUUUGGAAACAGGCUUCAGCAGAAGCCUGGUGAUACAGGUAGGUCAGGGUCAUACCCUGGCUGCUGGAGGGAACUACAGAAAAGGCAAUGAGGCUGUGGCAGCCCUCUAAUGCUGAAGAUGAAGAAGAGGAGGAAAGACAGACUGAAGAAUGGCAUAGAGUGACUGGUCAUUAGCCAGGAGAGCAGAAUGGCCCUUUCAACAUUUGGGGUGCGUCAUUCCAUUCCUGCAUAAUCGUCCAAAGAAAGUACUCUGUGUGAUGUUCGUGCUUGAAAGAUCAGAACGGAGAUAGAACCAUCUGUAUAAAUCCAAAUUUGUUUACAUGGUGGAUUACAUAUGUUGAUUUGGGUACACCGAACUAUUUCUGCAUCUCCAGGAUGAACUCUACUAGAUCUUUUGGAUUCAGUUGAGGAAACAAUUGAAAACUGGAGAAGUCUGCUGAUCUGAAGUCACUUAUCAAGAUAACUACAACUACCCGUGGGAUCGUCUCACCCGCUGAGCACUGCACACGUCAUGAACUUUGCGUCAAGACUGAACACAUGACUUUUGCUUCUGCACCAGUUUCCAACUGGUACUUUCUGACGCCAAACUUUACAAAGAUAUGGAUUUUGUCACUGGAAAGAAUAUAGCAGGACUGAAUGUUGACACUACUUGGAGUUAAUUGAAAAGAUGUAUCUCUGUGUUGCCAUUGAAAAUUAAAAAUAUGAUGGUACUUGGAGCAUUUUGGUUUCAUGGCACCAGAAGAUACCAUGCAAGCUUCCAAAGGAGUGAAGCAACCAGCAGUCCUCCAAGUUCUGAUGUCUACGUUACAUAUCAACAACUAGUUGGCACGGACCUAAGGGUGCAGUACUGGUACACAUACCUUAGUGGUAACCAGCAACUCUCUAAUUGGACUUAAGAUCAACUCAACAAGAGAGAAACCAUGCCUAGCACCUGAAACCUAGCCAACUACCUAGUGCUAGUGAAUUCAUAGUAUUGGAGGAGAAUCUACAAUGACUAGUCUACUCAACAAGCACAAUCUGUAACAACAGUCUAUAAAUAAUUGUUCUUAUGUCCAUGGAUAAGUGUAGUCUUCAUCCCUCAUGAAGGAAAUUUCUCUUUGCAAUAGGGGAAGAACACUACAGAAACCCACAACUAAUCAAACUGCAGAAUUACAAAGGCCAGCUCCAGUGGGUACAUUACAAAACACCCAUGCACCUAAGGCUCAGAGGACAUUGCGGAAGAGAGGGUGGAAAGAUUGUAGGAAGCAGAGACUCUUUCUAUAAGGUCUGUCUCUGAGUAACCAUCAGAACCUACACCCAUGUAUCUCACCAACACAACUGCUCAAAUGUAAGUGGAACAAUGAUGAUGCCAAUUGACAUGACAAAGUGGUCAAGGAAAAGCCCAUUGAUGUCUUCACCCUUGUUCAAAGAACUAUAGGAAACCAGGAAAAUCUGGGAGGAAGGGGAAGUGGUCAUCCUCCCAAAAAGAACACAAUAAUUGGUUGUCUAGUGCCAAAUGGUCAGCCCUGAAAACAUACAAAUAGGCAAGACUAUAUAGACUCAAAAGGUUAUAUUUAGAAAUAUGCAAUGUACAUAAACAUAUUUAAUGUAUACGUAAUACACACACACACACACACACAUAUAUAUACAUACAUGCAAUAACAAUCAGUAAGAAAAGAGGCCACAAAUUUGAAGGAGGGUAGAGAGAGGUAUCUGACAGGGUUUGGAGGUAGGAAAGAAAAAGGAGAACCAUUGCUAUUAAACUAUAAUUCUCAAAAAAAAAAACCCACCAGAAAAACCAACCAACCAACAAACAAAAACUAAUACAAAAUUGCUUUCCAAAACCAUCUUGGAGCAAAUUUCUUAGCAUGUUAGGAAUUUUCACCCAGAGUGCAUAUUUGGGACUUGGACCAUGAACAGCUGUGUUGCUGUUCUUUUUAAACAAGCUAGAGCAAAGGAUUUUGAAGAUUUUCCCUCUAAAGGAAUGAUAAACAAAUGAGGAGAUAGGUAUCUUUAAUGUGAUUUAGAUAUUACUAAAGUAUAAUUUUACUGAAAUACCACAUUAUGCCAUUUGAUGUGUAUGAUUUUUAUGCUUUCAUAUAUCAGCUAAAGAUGCACUUAAUUUUUAAAAAGCUGGACAGAUGGAAUGCAUACCUGCCUCCCACUUUUAUUUAUUACAUAUGAAUUUAGAUUGGGACAAGCUGAGCUCAGUCACUCACUAAGUCUACCAGAUUACUUUUGUGUUGUUAUUUUUAAUAUAAUUUACUCAAUUCAUGUAAUCAUUGAUAUGUUAGUUUUAUCCAAACAAGCUCCUAUGUGGUUUGAGUUUUUUGAUGUUCUGUUCUCUUUGUAUAUUGGGCCCAUUUAUCUUUAACCUAUGUUCCCCUUUUUCCAUGCAUGCUCUCUGAUUAUUAUGUCUCUCUAAAUUGUCACUAUUGACAACUUUAUUUCCUCUUCCAAGUUUACAUUUUUUUGAUGAGUAUUUGAAACAAAAAUAAUGUAAUACAAUAUCUCCUUCUCUCAAUAGUCAUUAGUUAAUUGCCUGUAGUUCUUUCACCCAUGGGUGGGGUCUUGUGUUUGGGAUAUUUUACCCAUUCAUAUUAGCAUGCCAGCUGAUGUUGUCAUUGUGUGGGUUUUGUUUACGCAGCCAUACUUUUGAGACUUUGUCUCUGCAGCUUCUCUAUGCUGUAUGGACAGACACUCUGGUCUUCUGGCUCUUCUCAUCUUGUGUUGUCUUCUAUGAUGUUUUUGAGCAGUGAGUAGAUGUAUCUACUCUUGGUGGACCAUCUUGUUAUCAAC